rnacentral:rRNA from 1 species
CGGACGGGUGAGUAAAGACUAGGAAUCUGCCUGGUAGUGGGGGACAACGUUUCGAAAGGAACGCUAAUACCGCAUACGUCCUACGGGAGAAAGCAGGGGACCUUCGGGCCUUGCGCUAUCAGAUGAGCCUAGGUCGGAUUAGCUAGUUGGUGAGGUAAUGGCUCACCAAGGCGACGAUCCGUAACUGGUCUGAGAGGAUGAUCAGUCACACUGGAACUGAGACACGGUCCAGACUCCUACGGGAGGCAGCAGUGGGGAAUAUUGGACAAUGGGCGAAAGCCUGAUCCAGCCAUGCCGCGUGUGUGAAGAAGGUCUUCGGAUUGUAAAGCACUUUAAGUUGGGAGGAAGGGCAGUAAAUUAAUACUUUGCUGUUUUGACGUUACCGACAGAAUAAGCACCGGCUAACUCUGUGCCAGCAGCCGCGGUAAUACAGAGGGUGCAAGCGUUAAUCGGAAUUACUGGGCGUAAAGCGCGCGUAGGUGGUUUGUUAAGUUGGAUGUGAAAUCCCCGGGCUCAACCUGGGAACUGCAUUCAAAACUGACAAGCUAGAGUAUGGUAGAGGGUGGUGGAAUUUCCUGUGUAGCGGUGAAAUGCGUAGAUAUAGGAAGGAACACCAGUGGCGAAGGCGACCACCUGGACUGAUACUGACACUGAGGUGCGAAAGCGUGGGGAGCAAACAGGAUUAGAUA